rnacentral:rRNA from 1 species
UAAGGAAUAUUGCUCAAUGGGAGAAAUCCUGAAGCAGCAACGCCGCGUGGAGGAUGAAGGGUCUAUGACUUGUAAACUCCUGUAAAGAAGGAAAAAAUUCCCAUUUGAUGGGAGAUGAUGGUACUUCUGGAGUAAGCCCCGGCUAACUACGUGCCAGCAGCCGCGGUAAUACGUAGUGGGCAAGCGUUGUCCGGAUUUACUGGGUGUAAAGGGUGCUCAGGCGGAUUUGUAAGUCAGAGGUGAAAUCUUACAGCUUAACUGUGAAACUGCCUUUGAUACUGCAAGCCUAGAGUAUGGAAGAGAGUGAUGGAAUAUCUGGUGUAGCAGUGAAAUGCGUAGAUAUCAGAUAGAACACCAAUGGCGAAGGCAGUCACUUGGUCCAUUACUGACGCUAAAGCACGAAAGCGUGGGUAGCAAACA